rnacentral:rRNA from 1 species
UCUACGGGAGGCAGCAGUGAGGAAUAUUGGACAAUGGACGAAAGUCUGAUCCAGCUAUGCCGCGUGCAGGAUGACAGCCCUACGGGUUGUAAACUGCUUUUAUACAGGAAGAAAAAUCCCGACGUGUCGGGGCUUGACGGUACUGUAAGAAUAAGGAUCGGCUAACUCCGUGCCAGCAGCCGCGGUAAUACGGAGGAUCCAAGCGUUAUCCGGAAUUAUUGGGUUUAAAGGGUCCGCAGGCGGUUUUUUAAGUCAGAGGUGAAAUCCUACAGCUCAACUGUAGAAUUGCCUUUGAAACUGAAAGACUUGAGUUAUUGUGAAGUGGUUAGAAUGUGUGGUGUAGCGGUGAAAUGCAUAGAUAUCACACAGAAUACCAAUUGCGAAGGCAGAUCACUAACAAUUAACUGACGCUCAGGGACGAAAGCGUGGGUAGCGAACAGGAUUAGAUACCCUGGUAGUCCACGCCGUAAACGAUGGAUACUAGCUGUAUGUCUACCUCAGGUAGAUGUGUGGCCAAGCGAAAGUGAUAAGUAUCCCACCUGGGGAGUACGAUCGCAAGAUUGAAACUCAAAGGAAUUGACGGGGGCCCGCACAAGCGGUGGAGCAUGUGGUUUAAUUCGAUGAUACGCGAGGAACCUUACCAGGGCUUAAAUGUAACGGGACAGGUCUAGAGAUAGACCCUUCUUCGGACUCAUUACAAGGUGCUGCAUGGUUGUCGUCAGCUCGUGCCGUGAGGUGUCAGGUUAAGUCCUAUAACGAGCGCAACCCCCAUCGUUAGUUGCCAACGAGUAAUGUCGGGAACUCUAACGAAACUGCCGGUGCAAACCGUGAGGAAGGUGGGGAUGACGUCAAAUCAUCACGGCCCUUACGUCCUGGGCUACACA